UCCCUGGUAGUCCAGUGAUUAGGACUCGGUGCUUUCACUGCUGUGACUCAGGUUCAAUCCCUGGCUGGGGAA
rnacentral:tRNA from 1 species